GACAGCAGCAGCCGCGGGAAUACGUAGGUGGCAAGCGUUGUCCGGAUUUAUUGGGCGUAAAGCGAGCGCAGGCGGUUUCUUAAGUCUGAUGUGAAAGCCCCCGGCUCAACCGGGGAGGGUCAUUGGAAACUGGGAAACUUGAGUGCAGAAGAGGAGAGUGGAAUUCCAUGUGUAGCGGUGAAAUGCGUAGAUAUAUGGAGGAACACCAGUGGCGAAGGCGGCUCUCUGGUCUGUAACUGACGCUGAGGCUCGAAAGCGUGUGGAGCAAACAGGAUUAGAUACCCCUGUAGUCCCUGUCUCUUAUAC
rnacentral:rRNA from 1 species